rnacentral:rRNA from 1 species
ACGCGUAUAGAACCUACCUUUUACAGAGGGAUAGCCUUUAGAAAUGAAGAUUAAUACCUUAUGGUAUUGUAGACUGGCAUCAGUUUAUAAUUAAAGAUUUAUCGGUAAAAGAUGGCUAUGCGUCCUAUUAGCUAGAUGGUAAGGUAACGGCUUACCAUGGCAACGAUAGGUAGGGGCCCUGAGAGGGGGAUCCCCCACACUGGUACUGAGACACGGACCAGACUCCUACGGGAGGCAGCAGUGAGGAAUAUUGGGCAAUGGAGGCAACUCUGACCCAGCCAUGCCGCGUGCAGGAAGACUGCCCUAUGGGUUGUAAACUGCUUUUAUACAGGAAGAAACACACCUACGUGUAGGUGCUUGA